rnacentral:lncRNA from 1 species
CUGAGUACUUUAUAUGUAACUGAUAUUGUUAUAAUGCUCUAAUGUAAUAAUUUUUGAUCUUCAAAAAUCUUAUGAAAAGGGUGAUAUUUUCAUUUCAUUUUACAGAUGAAGAAGAUGAGGCAAAGAAAUUCAGGUAUUUUUCCAAGAUUAGAAUCCUACUCAUACACUGGUCACUGAAAAAAGAAAAAGGGAGGCGAAGGAAAGGAGCCAUGAUGUUCAAACUAUGGAUAAACAUAAAAAUAGGAGAAAACAGCUCCAAGUAGCACUUCUGAAACAGACAGUGGAAAACAUCUAUGGAAAAUUUUGAGCAACAUGACUGCAAAGGACAAGAAUGAAAGACUAGAGACACAAAACUCUCAUUUGCUCCAGGGACUGAUCACAUUGAUGAUACUUUUUAUAAGUCUUUUAUGCUCGAACUUGAUGAGGUAAAUAAUGGUUAGCAAUACUAGUUAGUCUAUGGCCCUUAAAUCUAUUUAAAAGCAUAGGUCAGAUGGAUUCCAUGCUGGUCCUGAUCUAUAAACCAAAUGGAUGAGGGGUGGGAGGAGUUGGAUAAUAAAUGAUUCUUUGAGAGGCAACCAUCUACCUAACAUACAGUAAAUAUGGAGACUGAGUAAUUGCAGUCAUAGGAUCUUGUAAAAAACAAACCAAUCAACAAUGAGUAUUAGUUAGUAAACACUUCCACUUGUAGAAUCGUUCCACAUUUCUUGGUACUACUAUUCCCUGUGAUUAGGUCAAUAGGAAACAGAACAACUAAGUCUACGCAGGACUUCAGGUCCUAAGGAGUAAAGGUUUGGGUCACCCUAGCCAGCAGAACCACAGUUGAUUCCAGUCCUUGCUAAAGGCAAAGAGAACAUGGAAUGGAAAGUGAAACAAGUAGUUAUAAAGUUGCAUUGUCAUGACCAUUUCCUCCUUAUUUUGUUAUGAAUAUAUUUGUAUGUAAAUAUUUAGCUUUCUUCUGUUUUAUGGCUUUAUCAUGUAACAUAAGAUGUACUGAAUUUAUGUCCAAUAUGUAUGUAUAUUAGUUUUACAUCAUAGUAUUUAAGUUACAUAUAAAAUGUCAAGAACAUCUACCACUCAAGGUGGCUUCUUCUGGGGAAGUGGCUUCUUCUGGACAUAGUACACUAUGUCAUAUGCAGUAUAAAUGCAUCAAAUUAGAAAGAAUUAUGACUUUAUUAUUGUCUUUAUUUACAAAUUAGGUAUGAUUUAAGAAGAUAUAUAUGGUUGCCAAACUGCAAGAGGUGGACAUGCGAUCAUUAAUUUUGUGUUGAUUUGGCACAGAAUACCUAGAUAUUUGGAUAAACAUUAUGCAGAUUGUGUCUGUGAGGGUACUUGUGGAUGAGAUAUUUGAAUCAGUAAACUGACUAAGGUAGACUGUCCUUCUGAAUGUGGGUAGGCCUCAUUCAAUCUAUUAAAGGUAUAGAUUAGAAAAAAAAAGGCUAAGAGAUAAUGUACAUCUUUGCUUAUCUUUGAACCAGGACAUAAGUCUUCUUUUGCCUUCAGAUACAAAUUGAAAUUGACAUCAUCAGCUUGGCUCUCCUAUUUGUAAGGCCUUCAGAUUCUAACUGGAACUGUACUACCAGUUCUCUUGGGUCAAUACCUUGCCAAAUAUAGAUCUUACUAAGCCUCCAUAACCAUAGGAGCCAAUUCUUUAUAAUAAUUAUCUCUCUAUAAAGAUGUGUAUGUGUGUGCAUCCCUGAUUGGUUCUGUUUCUCUAGAGAAAUCAGACUAAUACAAAAUCUUUUAAAUUAUUGAAUAUUAUUAAGAGAUCAUUCAAAAGGAAUUCUACUAUAACCUGGCUUAGAAAAAAAGUUUUAAAAUAAAUUAAGAUUCUCAUCUCAGUAACUGAGAAGACACAACACUUUCCUACCAUUUCUUUGAAUUUCUAAUUUGCACCUUUUAAAUUCUCUUAGUACCAAUUACUAUGGAUAUGAUUACUUACAGCAAUUGAGUAAUUACUUAUAGCAAUUCUGUGACAUGACUAAUACUUUAAAAAAUUAUCAAUGUGUUCUAUCUUAUUUUGGUCAACAUAAAAAUGAAAGUUUCUAGUUUCUAAAUAAUUACAGCAGAACUCUGACUGUCCAAAAUGAUUCUCAUCAUCUUUUGGCCACCUAACAAACUCUGGCAACAGAAUUAACAUGUCAACCCUUAAAAGGCUGUUAAGCACUGAGGCAGGUCUCCAUCUCAGAAAGGAUGAGAGACAUAAAAGAUGGCCUCAUAGAAUAAUAUGAUAAGGAAAAAGGGAAGAAAAAAAAAUCAAGAGACAUGACACAAGGAAACAUAACUUAAGAGACAACCUCUCCAAGAAAGGCCUUUAUUGAGUUCUUAGGAUAGUAGAAGGUCCUUACCUCAUGGUCGGGGAAAAAAAAAACAUGUGUAAAGAGGCUGCCUUCUAAUUUGUUUCUCUAAAAUUAUGCACCCAAUAAUGCUUUUAAAGAAUUCCUAGAAAAAAAUUAGCUGUAAUUUCUAAAGUUAAACAGCCACAUGCUAAUAGGUUUUAUGGUCAAAUAUUUAAUGCAAACCUAUUAUGCACUAGGCCUUGCACAAUAAACUGGAGGUAUAACAAUGAGCUAAACUAGAAACGG